rnacentral:lncRNA from 1 species
UCCUGUACCUUGGUGUACGUUUCUGUCACACCAUAAAAUUUACACCAAUUUCCUAACAAUAUCAUGCAUUAUUCUCGGUACAUGAAUCAACCUCAGCACACACUAUAACAAAUCGAAUACAUAGUUCCAUGACUUAAAACAUAUAAAAACAAUUGUAUCAAAAUGCAGCGGAAAAAGAAACAAACUCAAACUAUCUAAUCUUGAGCUGACGAGGAUGGCUCCACACCACAGACAUUCUCAACGGCGAAUGAACUUCACCCUUGCGAACAAACUUCUUCUGACUCAUUCACUGGCAGUUGCUCUAGUGGAGGAAAAAAAUAAGCAGGGCUGAGUACAAACCACGGUACUCAACAAGUAGCACCUAAUAGAGGAAAAAGAAAUGAAUGCAGUAACAAGGAGAGGGUAUGGUUAGUUUGCAUAAAGCGGCAAUAUUUGGCAAAACGGUAAAUUAAAUAGAAUGAAAUAAAACGAAGUAAAUACUUAAAAUAACCAUCCACUAUCCAAUGUUACACCAAGUUGUAACAAGCCCAAACCGCUGUCCAACGUUACACCACGUUGUGAUAGGUUCAAAGCCGUUUUAGAUUCAUCAAGUUAUUAAAUGUGCGACUAAUCCCAGCGAGUCUAUUAGUUCACCCCAUAACCAUGAACACGACUAUUCCAAUAGUUUUACUCUGAUCAGAUGUAUACAAAUUUACCAAUAACACUUAGUCUCACACACGUUACCGUGCACUGACGUAUCAGAACGAUACCGUAGAAUGGAAACCAUGAUAAGGCCUUUCACCUAACCCUCCUUAAUCAAUCGCACCACACUGCAGGUUUCGCCCCUUCAUUUACACCAAGUCGGGCAACCCUCUCUUAUGCCAAGGUGAAUCUGAAAGCAGCAUAGACCGUCGUAGGGCCAUCCAUACUCCAUCACGCCCACCCUUUCCUGGGUAUGUCGAAUAGGGACAAGCUAAGCUAUGAGUCCCACCGUUGCCCACUCUUGCUUGUGGUUAGUGCGUGUAAGACUUCCAGAAUUUCCGGAGAACCGGUCGUUAAUUUCCAUGGAUGCGACUCUCAAAACCACGUACCCACAGCCCAUCAUUAAGCAAUAUUUUACUUGGAAUUAACCCUCAUUGGGUAAUUAAUCAUAAUCACAAUUAUCAAAGUGUAGCAUUAGUUAAAUAAUAACCCAUAAAUUGUAAUCAAAUUAAAAGUAAAGUAAUUGUAAUCAAAUUAAGGCUGGUAUAACAAUAUUAAUAAAUGGUAAUCAACGGAUGAAUAAUAGGUAAUAGCCUAGUGAAAAAGUAAAGUAAAUUUAAAUAAAACAAUUCAUGUUUGAAUGUAAAGUGGGGAAUUUACAAAUAUUGGAUCAAUAUGUUCAAGAUUGGGGUGCCACUUGCCUUGCUCUAAACCACCAAGAACUUCGGCGAUGAUUUCAAAAAAACCGGCGCUUCAACUGGGUCAAAACCUACGAUAAAUAAGACAAACAUGUGAAAAUAGACAAUAAAACUAAUAAAAGGAAACUAUUUUUAAUGGAUUUUUGGCAUUUUUCUGAAUUUAAUGAAAUUAGAAUGCACUAAAAUGGAGAUGCCUAAAUCAAUUAAUUGUGCAAUUAGAGGAGGUCGCUGACGUCAGUGGAGGAAAAAGGGGGCAGUGACAGGUGAGUCCCCAUUGUCGGUGACACAAUCGAGAGGAGGAGAGGCCAACAGAUGGCCCCAUUGGUCAGUGGGGGCGGCUCGCUGACCAGCCGGCCCCACUGGCUGGUGGCUAGCUCAAAACAAGGGAGGGGCAGCGGUGCCCCGGGUCGGCUCCAACUGAACGGCGCGACGGCACGAGUGGGGACCGGCGAUGGCAGUGGGACCGGCUGUGGUGGUGGCACAGGGCGACCACGCGCGACGGCGAUGGCGGAGCGGUGACGGCUACGGGCGGUUAAAGACGCGGUUGCGGGCGGCGGCGGCGACCAGCAUCUAGGCGAGCGGUGGCGCUAGCGAGUCUGUGGUGACGGUGCUAACGGCUAUGCAACUACGGAUGCGACGGCAGCGAAUGACGCUAGGCGACUAGUGUCGGCACACGCGGUAGGCGGAUGGCCCUAGGUGGCGGCGUUUAGCGACUUUUGACCGCGGCACGACAGCUUCGGUGCGGCAACGCGGGGCUAAGACGUGGUGCGGCGGACAACGGCGACUCUAGGCGGCUUAGCGUGGCAGCAGCGCAAGGAUUGCCCGGGGAAUGGUGACACGAGGCGGUGGCGACGAUGCUAUAGCGGCGAUGACAACGACACAAAGAUGAGGAGGACGACUGAUGGCUGCAGUGACAGAAGGAUGACGAGGAUGAUGCAACGGCGAUGGCUGAUGUGACGCGGGUUACAGUUGAAGGCAGAGAGAGGGAAGGAAGGGGAGACUCACCGGCGGCGACAGCGAUCGCGAGGACGGGCGAAGGAGAGUGAGCCGGUG